rnacentral:misc_RNA from 1 species
GUAUAUUUGUUUCAUAUCCCCCAUUCUACGACAAGUUGUUAAAUGUAACAUAGACCUUGGCCAUCAUUCCCUCAAAAAGGUCUACAAUAUGUGCACAGUUGGAAAAAUAAGGAGGACAAGCGUGCACAUGUCUUCCGACCAGCAACAGCCUGUUCAUAUUUAUUUCGAUAAUGAUCCUUCCGCAGGUUCACCUACGGAAA